rnacentral:rRNA from 1 species
UACGUAGGGUGCGAGCGUUAAUCGGAAUUACUGGGCGUAAAGGGCGCGUAGGCGGAUGUUUAAGUCAGAGGUCAAAUCCCAGGGCUCAACCCUGGAACUGCCUUUGAUACUGGGCAUCUUGAGUUCGGGAGAGGUGAGUGGAACUGCGAGUGUAGAGGUGAAAUUCGUAGAUAUUCGCAAGAACACCAGUGGCGAAGGCGGCUCACUGGCCCGAUACUGACGCUGAGGCACGAAAGCGUGGGGAGCAAGCAGG